UGCUUAACCGUACUCUACACUCGCUUGCAGCUCCUGACCCCCAAGUCACUAUUCAUUUGGAGCGUUAGUAAGUGGCCUCUGAUCCAGAUCCAGUAGUUUAGUGGUUUUUUCCAUUCUUUUACUUGCGCGCAUUAGGAGUUACAUGAGCUACUAUAUCGUAUUUUUCCUUUGAUCCUGUUCCUUUCCUGAUCUCUGCCCCGA
rnacentral:lncRNA from 1 species